rnacentral:rRNA from 1 species
GGCUAACGCUGGCGGCGUGUCUUAGCCAUGCAAGUCGAGCGGACUUAUGGGGUAACUUAUAAGUCAGCGGCGGACGGCGGAGUAACACGUAGCUAACCUACCCUCUGGACGGGGAUAACCUACCGAAAGGUGGGCUAAUACCCGAUGUAGUCAUCCUGUAUAGGGGUGAUGAAAGGUGGGCUUCUGUUUACAAGCUCAUGCUGGAGGAGGGGGCUGCGGCCUAUCAGGUAGUUGGUAGGGUAAUAGCCUACCAAGCCGAUGACGGGUAGCCGGCCUGAGAGGGUGACCGGCCCGAGGGGCACUGAGAUACGGGUCCCACUCCUACGGGAGGCAGCAGGCUAGAAAUUUGGGCAAUGGGGGAAACCCUGACCCAGUGACGCCGCGUGCAGGAAGGAGCCCUUCGGGGUGUAAACUGCUGUCGUGUAGGGAGAAGGGUACUAAGGUGAACAAUCUUAGUACUUGACGGUACUACAGGAGGAGGCCCAGGCUAACCUCGUG